rnacentral:snRNA from 1 species
AAACUUACCUGGUGCCGGGUUCAGGGUGAUCAAGAAUGCAUUGACCCUGGGUGGAGGCUCACCACUGCACCUCGGUGGGUUGAAACUCACUAAGAACCCUAAUCGGGUGCGCUUGGGCGUGUAGUUUUUGUCAUUGAAGAGGCCUGACGGUCCUCCCUUUA